UGCAUCCACUUUGCCUCUUUUAAUUUCCUCGGAUUGUUGGAUAACCCCAGGAUUAAGCCCAUUCAAAUGGUCAUAAUUCUAAGAAAAAAAGAAAAGUGGAGGACGGAGAAUGAAGCUCUGUGGAUUAAAGAGCAGGAAGUGCUGAUUUUGUACAUUAAAGUGUAAUUUGUUUUACAUCUACAAAGGCAGCAGCCUUAGUGUCUCUGAAGAAGUAUGGCAUGGGGACUUGUGGAUCCAGAGGAUUUUAUGGCACGUUUGAUGUUCAUUUGGAUCUGGAAGAUCGCUUGACCCGGUUUAUGAAGACAGAAGAAGCCAUCUUAUACUCGUAAGGCUUUGCCACUGUAGCCUGCACCAUCCCUGCCUACUCUAAGAGAGGGGACAUUGUCUUUGUAGAUAGAGCAGCUUGCUUUGCUAUUCAGAAAGGAUUAUAGACAUCAUGCAGUGACAUGAAGAUAUUUAAUCAUAAUGAUAUGGCUGACUGGGAGUGACUGCUAAAAGAACAAGAGAUCAAAGAUUUAAAGGUACCGCCUACUAUCUUAUUUUGGAAGGAGUCCUAAUACUCUGGAUAAUCAGAGUUCUUUUCUUUAAAACUUAUGAAUUACAAGAACGAUCUGAUCUUACACUCAAGGAAAAGGAGGAGUUGAUUGAAGAAUGGCAACCAGAACCUCUUGUUCCUCCUGUCUCAAAAGAUCAUCCUGCUCUCAAUUACAACAUUAUUUCUGGGUGUAUUGUGAGCUGUGGAGAACUAGCCCUUGACACUGAUUCCUGGCCCUGAGAAUCACGAGGAAAAUGAUAUGCCGAGAGCCAUCCAGCCUGCGGCCCUGUGCGAUGGCAGCCCGAGC